CCUACGGGAGGCAGCAGUAGGGAAUCUUCCGCAAUGGACGAAAGUCUGACGGAGCAACGCCGCGUGAGCGAAGAAGGCCUUCGGGUCGUAAAGCUCUGUUGUUAGGGAAGAACAAGUAACGUAGUAACUGGCGUUACUAUGACGGUACCUAACGAGAAAGCCACGGCUAACUACGUGCCAGCAGCCGCGGUAAU
rnacentral:rRNA from 1 species